AACAGGAUUAGAUACCCUGGUAGUCCACGCUGUAAACGAUGUCGACUUGGAGGUUGUGCCCUUGAGGCGUGGCUUCCGGAGCUAACGCGUUAAGUCGACCGCCUGGGGAGUACGGCCGCAAGGUUAAAACUCAAAUGAAUUGACGGGGGCCCGCACAAGCGGUGGAGCAUGUGGUUUAAUUCGAUGCAACGCGAAGAACCUUACCUACUCUUGACAUCCAGAGAAUUUGCUAGAGAUAGCUUAGUGCCUUCGGGAACUCUGAGACAGGUGCUGCAUGGCUGUCGUCAGCUCGUGUUGUGAAAUGUUGGGCUAAGUCCCGCAACGAGCGCAACCCUUAUCCUUUGUUGCCAGCGAGUCAUGUCGGGAACUCAAAGGAGACUGCCGGUGAUAAACCGGAGGAAGGUGGGGAUGACGUCAAGUCAUCAUGGCCCUUACGAGUAGGGCUACACACGUGCUACAAUGGCAUAUACAAAGAGAAGCGAACUCGCGAGAGCAAGCGGACCUCAUAAAGUAUGUCGUAGUCCGGAUUGGAGUCUGCAACUCGACUCCUUGAAGUCGGAAUCGCUAGUAAUCGUAGAUCAGAAUGCUACGGUGAAUACGUUCCCGGGCCUUGUACACACCGCCCGUCACACCAUGGGGGUGGGUUGCAAAAGAAGUAGGUAGCUUAACCUUCGGGAGGGCGCUUACCACUUUGUGAUUCAUGACUGGGGUGAAGUCGUAACAAGGUAACC
rnacentral:rRNA from 1 species